GCACAUAGGACACGCUGUGUACAACCCCAGGUUUAAAUAAGGGCAUAAGAGGAAUCUACCAGCAUUACAGGAGAGAUUUUAUAAAUAUUCCGCCUUCUCUCCUAAACUUUCCUGUCAAUAACCGUGAGGAGGGGCAGCAGAACCUACAGGGGCGAAGGCAGACACAAGGCAGGCGAGGAAACACCAGCAUUUCACAGAAUCGUGAGGCAAAAAUGCCGCUGUUUCGACGAAGUGUGAGGGAAAACCCUACAAACCAGCCGUGCUGGUGGCACAGGGACUGCAUCUCCUGCUCCAAAGCCUUUUGGUGCCGCCGUGUCCCAGGGCUCCUGGCUGAGGCGUUACCUGUGGUGCCGGAGCCCCCUGAGGGCAGCUCCCACAGGACCCAAACCCACACACAGGGCUUUUUAAGGCUGGUGAGGGAGCAGCGAGGCACCUUAACCGCAGAUUCGAGUUCCACACCCCACAGGCCGUUUUUUCUCGGAUUUUCCACCAAAAUCACCAAAAAGCAGCCCCCCCACACAGCAGCACCGCACGAGGAGCCUCGACUGCGGCUCCCCGAGACCACCAGCACCGCCGAGACCGCUGUGGCGGCCGCUGCAGGGCGGGUAGAGCCUCGCCCUGUCACACCAUAUCGCCCUGUCGCCAUGUCGCCGACAGGCAGCGCCCUGAGGCACUGCCCCCCCCCCCCCCCAAAGCCCCUCAGCCCCCGGGGCACGGCGCCACCUCGCAGUGCGCAUGCGCGGCGCCCCGUCCUCCUCCCCCCCCUCACCACAUGGCUCACUAUCUGGCAGCGCCCCCCACCGCGCACGCGCGCCUCGCCGCCUGCAGCUCGCAGCUCAAUGGCUCACUAUUUGGCAGCGAGCGGCCCGGCCCUCUCUGAGAUUCACUGCUAAAGCAGCUGCUGCAGGUCCUGCGUCUGUCCUGUUGGAGCCCGCUGACAGCUGGUUCAGCUCCUGCAAAGGGAACAGAAGGCUCCGUGAGCGGCAGUGGCAGCUUCUGGGCAGCUCUGGACUUCCCAAAUGUUCACUUCCCAGAACUAAAGCAGCAACGUGGCCAGUUGACCUGCUAUGCACCACUGAAACUGAAGUCACCUCUGCUGCAGAGAAGAAGGAGUCCUCGGAAAUGGAGCUGUCCUCAUCGUCUGUCCGAAGCCGUAACGACCCGUCCGCUAGCGGCAGCAUUAAGGUCUUCUCUGGAGGUGGGAAAGGAGCUGCAUGUGUUGGAGGUUACAGACCACCAGUCCUCACAGCCACUGUGCUUUCUCUUCCAGCCACCCACCCCCCAAAAAGCGCUGUCACCGCUUCAUCGCCUGGCUGAUGGAAAGAGACAAAAGCAUGGAAAGGAAGCUGCCGGCUCACCCAGAUCCAGCAGCAUGCUGUCCGAGGGAAGCGAAGACCCAAACUCUUCCUGGAGGUGGUAGGCUCGAUGCAAGAGGGACUCCAACUUCUCUGCAAACUCCCUUUUCUGGGACUCCUCCUUGAACAGACAUAAAUGGCACGCUUAAUUAGUCAGCUGGCAGGGACAGACUGACAGCACAAACACGGGAGGAAAUUUCAGUCAAAUAGGAUUUACAGUUUGCAGAUUAAAUGGUGAAAGAGAACUUAAUCCUACGAUACAGCUAAUAACGCAAGGGAAGGAAAGCUGCUAGACAGCCUAAUUCAAACCCUCCGGCAUUUUUAGCUUCACUAUUUCAUUUUCAUUAUUUAAAAAAAAAAAAAAAAAAAAAGUGGAAGAAAGAACUUUAACCUGCCAUCCAGAAAAACAGGUGUCUUUAUAGAUCACUUAAUUCUCCUGACUUGUGACUUUAGCCUAAUUUCAAGAGGGAACCGCAUCAGAAAAGCCGUGUUGAAAACAGCAGAGUAUCCAGAACUGGAUAACAGAGUAAGAGUCCUUGGGUUAAGGUGCUGGGCAUAAGCAAAGUUUGCUGUAAGCACGAGUAGAUAGACAAAAAGGAGGAGAAAAGUAAGACUUACACAGCAUCUUGCCUUCAUGCCCCUGUGUCUGCAUGAGUAUCUCACCCAGUAGAUAGAAGCAUUAACAAGAAGCACAAAAUCUAUUUGGAUAAUGAAUCAACUGUUUGAGUCAGUUGCAGAAACACCAUAGGACAGUUCAGGAGGAGACAGCAAGGAGAGAAUCCACAUUUGAUUCGGGUAAGUUAUCCACCACAAAAAGGCCAUACACAGACUACACCAGGACCGAGCUCCCACCAAGUUACCACUUGGCUUUAGUGAUUAACACAGGCAGCUGGUCCUGCUUCUGCUCAGCUCCCUCAGAAGUCCUAGGGACUACCACAAUCUCCACGUUUAACACGUUAAAGAGAUACAGGCACAACAGUGCCAGGCAAAAAGCUCCUUCUUCCCUCCUCUCAGGUGCUGUGUUUGUUGCAGCCUUUUCCUGCUGCAGCCUCUACUGCUCGAGAACUUGCACGACAGUGACUGACAUGAUCUGGAAGGUGGGCAGAAAGCUGAAGAAUGAGGGGGAGAGACUUAUUAGAAAGAGAAAAAAGAAGAAAAAUUAAGAAUUCGCCCACUCAGGCUACAUAAGGAAGCCAAGAAUAUAGACAGCUCUUAAACAUCGUCUAACCCAGCUCUGCCCUUGCUUUGCUCUUCUUCUACUGCCCUGCAGUGACUCCUCCUAGCAGCCUGGCUGGCCUUCCAGCAUGUUCCCCAGCUGCCAAACACAAGAGGGAAAGGCAGGGACCUACCUCUGCGAUGCUCUCAGACAAGGUGUCCUGGUGUUUCUUGCCGUCCCAGGGCACGGGGGUGCUCGUGCUAGCGCUGUCCCGCUGCCGGAUGGUCAGCGCCUGCUCCCACUUCUGCAGGGCCUCCUCGAACAGCUCCAUGCCUGGCAAUGCAACCAAACAAGCUCAGAUCCUCAGGCCACGUAGGUACAAAGCCAUGCAGCAAGAGCCUGCUCGCUCAGGUAACCCAGCGAAGAGGGAAUCUUCUCCCCAGGAGAAAGAAUCCUUGCCCUUUAAAAGACAGUUUUAUUUUCAAUAGAAGUUAACAAGAACAUCCCCCAACUCAUUAAAAUAUCCGCCGUGGUAUUUUCAAGGUGCCGUUCUCCACAGCAGAUGAACCUGACGCUCAGCGAGUAGGAAUUGGGAAGUAAAUUGUUCACUGAGAAGGAAGAAAAGUUUCUUUAAGUUCUUGUUAACUACCGAGUGACUGAGAUCAAGGAGAGGACAGAAGAGAGCUGCCUUGGAGAGCACAAAGGUGCAGCCACACGAUGCUGGUGAUGCUCUGUGUAACUUCAUGCUGUGUAUUUGUUCUUGCAGUGCCAACCCCGACCCGCUGAUGCUCCCCUCGUGCUCGUUUACCUUGCACGUAGAGGCUCUCUGCGCUGGAAUCACCCCCGGCUCCGGCGUCCCCCAUUGCCUGGGCCUCCCACGUCCCUGCUGCUGCUGGUGUUGGACUCGAAGAGUUCACUGCUACCAUCUGAGGGAAGGGAGCAGAGCAACAAACGCCCGUUGAAAUGCCGAUUGCCUUGGGGAGGUGAAACCCCUUGCCUUGGAAGGGGAAGGGAUCAGCAGGUACCACCCGCCUCCCACCUCGUUUCACACCACGCUGCCAACUGCCCAGAGCUGCAAGGUGCAGAGUGCUGACCUUCCCCACCCAGCACCAAAAAAACACCUUCCCCACCAAUUUACAUCGAAAGCUUCCUCAGGAAACUGCGAGGUGUGCAACUGGGAGCCUGAGCAGGACAGCACUGGUGGAGGAGACAGCCUGAGAAAGCUCCACGGCACCGCUGCAACAGCACCAGGGGUUGGGUGCAGCUGGCACGUCAGGCCCCAGCCUUCUGCACAGAAUAACAUUGGAAGCUGGGGUAGCAACCACAAAAAAAAUUAAAAAAAGGAGCAGUUUAUCAGCAAAAAUACAGCUGAGGACUUUGGCCAAGGGAAAUUCCAGUUUGUUUUGUAACCAAACCUCCUCAUAGGAGGGCUGAACACCCAGACCACAUGGUGCAAGUGGCCAGCUUUCUCAAAUUUCGCCCUAGUGCACGAUGUCUUCUCAGGUCUGACACUAAAGUGCUGGGCUCGGGCACUGCCAGGACCAGCGUUUCAUAAUUUUUCCAUACAGCUUUGAGAAAGGUGCCCAAAUGGGAGUACUGACGCUAGAGAAGAAGCUACAGUAAGUGGCUGGGGGAUGAGCUCUUGCCCUGCCUCAUCUCCGUGGCAGGGCAAUAAAUCACGCUGAGAUCCAGGCCUGCAAACCAGUAACUCGCUGCUGCUGACUUAUUUACUAGGUGACAACGCUCGGGAAGCCAGACAGGGCAGCAGGGAGAGCCUGCAGCUGCGUGAAGGCUGAAGGAUGUGCCGUUUUCCCAUCAAAUAACAACAGCAACGAGGACAAGGUGGCAGCAGCUCCCUUCCCACGCAGUAAAGGGGAUACAGGAGCAGCUUUCUCUGCGUGGAUACGAUCCCCAGCAGUGGAAAAAGGAACGUAGGCAGCUUAUCUCAAGCGCACCAGCCCUCAGCAGCACAAACCCUGCGGCUUCUCCUUUCCCACAGUGGGCUGGGAGCGGGAAUGGACACAGCAGGGUCUGCACCUCCCAUCGCAACCAGUAACCCCAGGGGAAUACUGGGGCAGGCUGCACGCCCAGCGCCGUGUCAGCACUGCCGCCUGCUGGAGGCACACUUGGACCAGCGCAGGGCUUUUUUGGGCAACUUUCUGCUGCUUGAAUCGUCCCAGCACGCUAAAAUCAAGUGAUGCCUUCCAAGGGGGGAUUUUUCCCCCUUCCUGCUAACUAGACACCAAGAGGGGGUCUGUGGGACGUUGUGGUGGAGGAAGCUGCUGUUCCAGCAGGAGCUUUGAGCACUGGGGAUGUAAAACAGGCCUUGAGGGCAAAAACACUCCCCUGGCGCUUCUGCCUCUGGUCUGUCAAGAAAAGUGGAUAUGAGCAGUGAGGGCUUCUGCUUGGUACAGCCUGAAUUACCUGUAUUCUGUGCUUGGGAGGUGGCAGAACUGCUGGGCUGUGUGCUCACCCUGCACUGUUUCAUUAACAAAAAUACCUGGUUUUGGCAGUUCACUUGGUUCAAAGAGCCAAACAAGCCGUGAGCAGCCUGCAUAGAGGCAGGAGGGCUGCUGGACCACCCAAACCUCCACCACAGGGGGAAGCCAACGAGCUCCCCGUUGCUGCAGGACCCAGCCACAGCCCAACCUCACACCUGAGGGGGGCACGGAGAGCCCCGAGGAAUCACAGCCACAUCCCACACCAGCCCCUCAGUGGCCGAAAACACCGGAUAGACCUCGGGAUGCUCCGAUUUCAGGUGCACGCCUGCCCCAGACAGCUCCAGACCAUCGCUGUUCAGUUUUAUCAGAGCCUGCCCUCCAGUUACACCACACCUCGUCUGCUCCCAGCCCACCUGGCAGACCCUUACCGAGGCGAGGCUGUGGGAGGAACUGGAAUGUUUGCUGGGCUCGAUGGACGAUAUCCCGCUGAGCGUGUCAUUGCUCUUGCUGCCGGGACUCUGGACUCUCUUGCUGGAGUACCCUGCGGGUGGGAAGGUCACACAAAAACAGGGUUUUAGCCGUGCUGGCCUCUGAAUGGAUGACAGAUGGAGACAGCAAGACCUGUUGGUUGUGAGGUCCCUGCAGGCUACAAAAAAAGUGUGGUCCAGGGCUUGGGGGCCUCUCCCUUUUCACAAGACCAACCUUUCUUCACGGACGAGACCCUUCUGGUCGGCAGGAUGGGCACCGUGAUGCCUCCGGGCUUGAAGCCACACUUGUCUGGAGCAAUCUGCUUCUUUCGACGCCGACGCCGUUUCAGCUGAUGAGCUGCAAGAGCCAACGCAACCGUCCCGAGAGCUGUCGCGAACAGCACCUUACGCAGGCCUGGGGAGAGCCGCAGCUGAGAGAAGACAGACUUUAAACACAAAAGAUAUGAAAGAGCAACAAUGAAGAACCAAUUCCGCCGCCCGUUUUCCUUCUAAGCAGUUGUAAAAAAAAAUUCAGACAGCCCUCGGAGAGAAAACCCAAGGAACCACCUAGGAAAGCCUUUCCUGCUCACUGUACCUGCCCAAACGUCGUGUAAACGAACACGGGGAUCUCUGCCACGGUCAUUGCCAAGGCCUGGAUGAUGGACAUGCCC